GGCUAGAUGGCCGAGCGGUCUAAGGCGCUGGAAUCAGGACCAUGUAUCCAGUCCGAAAGGGCGUGAGUUCGAAUCUCACUCUAGUCA
rfam:Rhizopogon vinicolor AM-OR11-026 unplaced genomic scaffold K503scaffold_13, whole genome shotgun sequence.